rnacentral:rRNA from 1 species
CAGCCGCCGCGGUAAUGCGAAGGGGGCUAGCGUUGUUCGGAUUUACUGGGCGUAAAGCGCACGUAGGCGGACUUUUAAGUCAGGGGUGAAAUCCCGGGGCUCAACCCCGGAACUGCCUUUGAUACUGGAAGUCUUGAGUAUGGUAGAGGUGAGUGGAAUUCCGAGUGUAGAGGUGAAAUUCGUAGAUAUUCGGAGGAACACCAGUGGCGAAGGCGGCUCACUGGACCAUUACUGACGCUGAGGUGCGAAAGCGUGGGGAGCAAACAGGAUUAGAUACCCCGGUAGUCUCUGUCUCUUAUAC